rnacentral:rRNA from 1 species
UACGAAGGGGGCUAGCGUUGCUCGGAAUCACUGGGCGUAAAGCGCACGUAGGCGGCUUGGCAAGUCGGAUGUGAAAUCCCUCGGCUCAACCAAGGAAGUGCAUCCGAAACUGCUAAGCUUGAGUACUUAAGAGGAUCGCGGAAUUCCCGGUGUAGAGGUGAAAUUCGUAGAUAUCGGGAGGAACACCAGUGGCGAAGGCGGCGAUCUGGGAAGAUACUGACGCUGAGGUGCGAAAGCGUGGGGAGCAAACAGG